UGCCGGUGAUGCAUAAACAAAUGCACGUAUUAUCGGAUUGUUCCAUGACAAUCUCCCAACUAUUGUCACUACCACUAAGGCA
rnacentral:snoRNA from 1 species